rnacentral:lncRNA from 1 species
GUCCAUACCUUCUGUCUUAGAAUCAAUACUGAAUACUAGUUCCAAGGUAUCAGAGAAGUAAGGGCUAGGCAAUGGGGGUUAAGUGACUUGUCCAGGAUCACACAGCUAGGAAGUAUCUGAGGUCACAUUUGAACCCAGGACUUCCUGUCUCUAGGCCUGACUCUCAAUCCACUGAGACACCUUGCUGCCUCCUCCCUUUGGUUAUUCUAAGGAAGGAAAUAAGCAUUUAUUAGACACCUAUGAUGUGCCAGGCGCUGUGCUAAGUACUUUAUAAAUAUUUUCCCAUUUGAUCUUCCCAACAGCCCUGGGAGGGAAGUGCAAUUACUAUUCCUAUUUUACAUUAGAAGAAACUGGAGCAGAUAGAAAUUGUCUUGCACAAGGUCACACAGUUAUUAAGAGUCUAAGGCUGGAUUUUAAUUCAAACCUUUCUGACUCCAGGCCUGCUGCUGAAAUUACUUCCUUUGAAGAAGAAAAAUGAGUAUCUAAAUAGAAACUUUUAGAGUCUGAAUCUUUCCUCAACCAACUUCAAUAGAUAUCAAUGAGCCUUCAUAUCUGAAAAAAAGAUAAUUUAUUUUUAUCAUUUUAAUUCAUUUUUAAGUCCUGUAUCACCAGUAGCCUAAAAGCCCCCUCCUUGACACCUCUUUUUCCCAGCAGCCAAUGCCAUGAAGUUCUCUGAUGAAUGACCGAGGGGUAAGGGCAUUCCCUGUGCUUAACUAGCAAAUUUUUGGUCUAUGUAUCAUAACGGACUCAUCUUGCAAGCUUUAUUUAGGUAAAACUCCUAUUGAGCUCCAGCUCCUAGGAGUGAGGCUGACUCAGAGCUUCAGAAUUUGGCCCACAGGGAGAUGAGUCAUGGUGAUGAAAUUUCAAAAGAAAAGGGACAUUUUUAAAAUUAGCCCAAGAUGUCCGAUGGCCUUGGUCUUGAAUCCUCCCCGCAACGAAACUGUGCCUUUUGAUCUUGUUGGUGUGCUUAGUUUAGUUAUGGUUCCCCUCAGGUAAAGGAAGUUCAUUUUUCUGUAUCAGAAAAUAACUAAAAAGCUGAAGAAGUCCAAAAUGAGCUCAAAAGAACAAUUCAUAUUUCUAUUAUUGUAAAAUGGCUAUAAAUGUUACAACAAGCUUUGCCCAAAACCUUUUGAGUUGGAUAGUUUGUAUUUGGUAUACCCUUA